CCCUCAAAUAUUGGAACACUGCUGUCACAUCACCCCUAGUCCUUCUUUCUUUUCAUUAAAAUAACUUUGCUUCUCAUUCUUCUAAAAGACUGAAUUCCUCGAAACGUGGAGUUAAAUGAUAACCAUUAUUUGAAUGCAUUGUCUUUUGCAGUACAAUAUUCCAUUUACGGACAGAAUAUCACCCCAAAUUGAGUUUCUCCCUCUUAACUAUUUGGUGACUAUCAUAGUAGAGAUGGAACAUCAAGGAUGGGCAGCUUCUCUGGAAGAGACCAACAUGAACGCAAAAUUGGUUGAAGAGGUGGCACUCAAACACACUACAAUGCUCUUAGGCCUUUAACUUAUUUAAUGACCACGAUGAAAUUACGAAUCCAAUAGCAUCAGAAUUUUGUUCUGCCUUUGACAAUUGAAUUCCAGAGAAGAUAAGGAUACAAAGCUGUAAUAUUAUAUCUGAAAGAGAUAUCACAACUUCUACUACUGGAUGUGAAAUUGUUCUGAAUGCAAAAUAUUUUACAUUCAGAUGCGUUGGAACUUGAAACUGGAUUGAUUUUUUUUUUCAUUUUCAAACCUCACCUGGAAACAGCCUGUUCCAAAGAUGAAAAAAAAAAACCCUCUUUUUUUUAAUUAGAAAAAAGGGUAUUUUGGAAUUCAGAAUAGAGGUCAAGCUUCAAAUGUUUUGUGCCUCGUUAUAAUAGGUGCACUGAAAUAUUUGAAAUCAAUUUUUAAUAAUCCAAUAUUAAAAUAAACGGGAGUUUUCUCAGUGUAACAUUACAAGAAUAAACUGAAUCUGAAUUCAACGUCGUAUUUAUUGUUAAUAGGCCACUGAGGCCCCCAAAGCAAUUGCAUUUCUGAGCAAUUACAAAGAGAAGAUUAAAUAAUUAGGAGUAAAUAUUGCAAUAAAAUGUGCCAAUGUUAGCAUUUAAAUUCUUAACGAUGAGACUGAAUAAUAGAAUGGAGCAAUGAGGAGCUGGCAGCUAUUACAUUAUGUAUGUAUGAGAUUCACACAUGAACAGGGUGCUAUUAAAUAUUGCAAAUGAGAAACCAACCCUUUUCUGUAAAUGGAAAUAAAUGUAUAGAUUUGGAAACUAGGCUUUGAUGUCUUUAUUUGUUGUAUUGGUGUCAGAGGUUUUGUGUGUGUUUUCUAAUUUGUUUAAAUACACCACAAGGAGAACAGGUUUCUUACAGAAAGCAACAAAAAGUCAAGAUAGGAUCCCAAACCAUGCAAACGCUUAGCAUUUAAGAUCCACCCCCCCACCCCACCCCCGUUUUUAACGUGCAUUUAACUUAAAUUGGG
rnacentral:lncRNA from 1 species